AAAGGAAUUGACGGGGGCCCGCACAAGCGGCGGAGCAUGUUGCUUAAUUCGACGCAACGCGAAGAACCUUACCAAGGUUUGACAUCACCCGUGGACCUGCAGAGAUGUGGGGUCAUUUGGUUGGUGGGUGACAGGUGGUGCAUGGCUGUCGUCAGCUCGUGUCGUGAGAUGUUGGGUUAAGUCCCGUAACGAGCGCAACCCUUGUUCCAUGUUGCCAGCACGUGAUGGUGGGGACUCAUGGGAGACUGCCGGGGUCAACUCGGAGGAAGGUGGGGACGACGUCAAGUCAUCAUGCCCCUUAUGUCUUGGGCUGCAAACAUGCUACAAUGGCCGGUACAACGGGUGGGCGAAGCCGUGAGGUGGAGCGAAUCCCCUAAAGCCGGUCUCAGUUCGGAUUGGGGUCUGCAACUCGACCCCAUGAAGGUGGAGUCGCUAGUAAUCGCGGAUCAGCAACGCCGCGGUGAAUACGUUCCCGGGCCUUGUACACACCGCCCGU
rnacentral:rRNA from 1 species